rnacentral:rRNA from 1 species
UACGGGGGGGGCAAGCGUUGUUCGGAAUUACUGGGCGUAAAGGGUCUGUAGGUGGCUUGCUAAGUCAGACGUGAAAUCCCUCAGCUUAACUGGGGAACUGCGUCUGAGACUGGCGAGCUUGAGGGCAGGAGAGGAACGCGGAAUUCCAGGUGUAGCGGUGAAAUGCGUAGAUAUCUGGAGGAACACCAGUAGCGAAGGCGGCGCUCUGGGCCGGUACUGACGCUGAGGAGCGAAAGCGUGGGGAGCGAACAGG